rnacentral:rRNA from 1 species
UGAGGAAUAUUGGGCAAUGCCCGCAAGGGUGACCCAGCAACGCCGCGUGGAGGAUGAAUGUCGUAAGAUUGUAAACUCCUGUUAGAGGGGAAGAAUAGUACCGGUUGGACCGGUAUAUGACUGUACCCUCAGAGAAAGCCCCGGCUAACUACGCGCCAGCAGCCGCGGUAAUACGGAGGGUGCAAGCGUUAUCCGGAAUCAUUGGGUUUAAAGGGUCCGCAGGCGGAUAUAUAAGUCAGUGGUGAAAUCCUGCAGCUUAACUGCAGAACUGCCAUUGAUACUGUAUAUCUUGAAUUGAGUGGGAGUGGGCGGAAUAUGACAUGUAGCGGUGAAAUGCAUAGAUAUGUCAUAGAACACCGAAAGCGAAGGCAGCUCACUAUACUUAAAUUGACGCUCAUGGACGAAAGCGUGGGGAGCAAACA